GUAGUCCUAGCCAUAAACGAUGAUGACUUGGUGUGUCGGGUUUGAGUCCCGAUGUGCCGGAGCUAACGCGUUAAGUCAUCCGCCUGGGGAGUACGGUCGCAAGACUGAAACUCAAAGGAAUUGACGGGGACCCGCACAAGCGGUGGAGCAUGUGGUUUAAUUCGACGCAACGCGAAGAACCUUACCUGGGCUAGAAUGCGAAGGAAGACCUUCCAAAAGAGGGUCGUCUGGGGUAAAACUCAGACCUGAAGCAAGGUGCUGCACGGCUGUCGUCAGCUCGUGUCGUGAGAUGUUGGGUUAAGUCCCGCAACGAGCGCAACCCUUACCGUUAGUUGCUACCAGUUCGGCUGAGCACUCUAAUGGAACCGCUGGUGAUAAACCGGA
rnacentral:rRNA from 1 species